rnacentral:lncRNA from 1 species
CUUCACCACAAGGAGCUCCAGGACAGCCUUUUCUUUGUCUCUACAGAGCAGAAGCAAAGCAACAAACUCCCUCUUUUUUUUUUUUUUUUCUUUUUUCUUUCUUUUCCUGAGGACGAAUCACUUCCAAGUACAUCUGGUUGAGCAUGAAGAAUGAGAAUAUGAAUACAGGCAAUUAUGAUGGAGUAGAGGCCUUGUAAAUUUAUACUCAAGCUUACCCCCUGGUAACUCAUUCAUCUGCGUGUCUUGACAGGAUGCAUGUGAAAUAGUGGGACAAUAAAAGCUGUUGUAAUGCUGAAAGAUGCUAAUAGCUGGCCUCAGGGUGAGCUGGGUUUUCAAGACAAUCACAGAUAAUACAGAUAACACAGUGGAAGCAUUAGACUCAAGAGAAUGAGCUCUCAAGCCUUUAUUCUGUAAAAUAGAGAGACAUAGGCUAUCUCAAAGGAGGGAUGUCCUAGAGGUGUAGAUUUUACAGGAUCUUAUUUUUAUGGAGCAGUACUUUGCAGAACUAUGGGCUAUCUGAAUCUGCUUGCACUUAUGGAAAUGCACAGCAAACAAAGCCAUAGACAAUUGUUCCUUAACAGGAGUAGGUCUGAAGGUGUUGGAAUUGACCCCUUUGACAGGGUGGCGCCCAGCCUGUCUGCCACCCAGCCUGUCUGCCACAUUGAGAACAAAAAGAAAAGCUUAACAAGGAAAUAUGCUCUGUAACUACUUUGGCAGCCUUUGAAUAGUUAGAGAUAUUUCAGGAAAAAAAAAAAUCCUCUAAAAAUUCAGUAUUUUGGAAAUACAGAUCUGUCCCAAGGAACUGCUCGACAAUGAAACUCCUUUUCUGUCUUCCUUCCAUCUCUUCUCUAUAUCUCACAGGGAAGACAGUGUUGUAAUCAGAGGACUAACUGGGAGUAAAUGUUUAUAAGGCUGUGGAUGUUUUUGGAUAUGCCCAUAAUCUGAGUUUUGAUCAGCUUGGUUCUGUGUGAAUGUGGACUCCUUUCCAAGGUGAUGCUUUUGUGAGAAAGCUUAGGAACAGACAACUAGAAUGAAUUCACUCCCAGGUGCUGAGGCAAAUCCGCAAAAAUGUUUUGGAUUUUGAGGGUAUUUCAUUUAAUCUAAACGUGCAGCAGUGUUGAAAGAAGGUUUGUUUCCCAUCCCUCUGUAUGCUGCAAGCUAAAAAAGCCCUUUCCAGACCUUACACCACAGCUGUAACGCAUAAUGACCUCAACAGUUCUCUGCCUGAGGAAGAACAAAAGGACAUCCUAAGGGAAAACGCACAGAUGAUCCUACGAAGUACUUGCACUGCAAUUUAGACACAGGACUAGAGGCAGAAUGCUGGGUGAGCAAGCAAGAAUCCUGGACUUCCUAAGGUAGUGCUGUUUCUUGUAGCCGAGACCCACCAAUGUGAUGGGGCAAACUGGUAGCACUUAACAUAUCACAACCUUUGCAGGGAAAAAUGAAGUGCCAGUCCCGAAUGCUGCACAAGUGACUAUGGAUGUAGAAUGGUGCACGUUUUGUUCUGGGCAUCCUUAUUGAAUAGUGACAUCAUCAGAGGUGCUCGAUUGAUCUGUGAUUUGAGGAGAAACUGCUUGGACUUGAUCCUCCCUUUGUCCUUCCACAGAGAAACAAAUGCUGCGGUGUUCAGCUCUUUCACUGGCAGCUGUCAUACUGAAGAGAACUCACAUGUUAGGAAGAGGUGUUCAGGAAGAAUGGUAUUUUCAUCCAGUUGUGCCCAGAGCAGAAGUUCAUUACUGCAUCGUGGCCAGGACUCAGCCUGCAGCAGUGGGAGCAGGGGCAGCUGGCUAUGAUGGGAGAGAGCGAGACAGUGCUAGGAAGGCUGAGCAAAUAUUGACUUAGACUCUGAAAUGCAUGGGGCAAAUCAGCCAAGAUGUCUGAAGUUGGGUCCUGCUUCCACCAUGUUCGACCAUUGGAUUGGCCUGGUAACAAACCAGGACUUCAUCUACUGUGGUGUGUUGGUAAAGGUAAGCGGUCCAGUCCUAUGUGUGAAGGUACAAAAUGUUAACAGGUAAAUGAAGUGGUAAUGGACCAUCAGUUGCAAAGCACUCAAAAAGCAAGGUGAAGGCAUGUUUCACUGUCUUUAGUAAAUAGCAGUGAUGUUGCAACAAAGGAUAAGGGGGAAAAAGCCAAACGAAACAGAGAAAUGGGAUGUGAGGUUUGCCUUGGCCCAAGCUCACUGGUGUGUAACUUGCCCAUAUAGAUCUUGUUGAACACAGGGUACCCUACUCUCCUAACACAGUGUCCAGUAUGCAGCAAGAGGGCACACCAAAGGGAUGACUCAUAGAUAUCUGAUAUGGAAAUGGAUGCUGUCAAGGCACCAAUCAUGUCUCUGUUCCUACCCAUUGCUUGCUUGACUUCUGACUGUGUCAUAACACGGCUGCAAAGUCUCAGGCUGCUUAGGGUUGCAUCUUCCAAGUAAUCAUUCCAGUCUGGAUUUAUCACCAAAUUAUGGAGAGCCAACAUUACGGUGUUAUUGCAGUGACCCACUCUGUCUCUCUCUCUCUCUAUUUUUUUUUCCCAUCAACUCCAAUUCCUCUUAAGGGCAUUUUAGACUUUAGAAAGUCAUUUGCUGUUCUUUGAGGUGUGAAGGAUGGACAGGCUGAGACUGCCUUUCUCUUACUGAGAAGAUGUGGCAUGUACAAGGCCAUGCAGAUGGCAAUACUGAUGGGAAUAGGAGGCAGGAGAUCAGAAAGUGCCUUGACCCCUGUGAUUCUCCAGGCAUUUGGAAUGCAUAAUUGCAGCUUGUUUAACACCAAAGGAUAACUGAUCAUUCUGAGAGGAGGAAGACACUGGUGGGGAUCGAUAUUCCUAUGGCUGUGCUAGAAAAAUAGCGAAAAAGAAUGGCUCUUUAUCUCUCACAGCAAAGCAGGAGGAAUAAAUGCCUACGACUUCUUGUGAUUGUUCUUUUCAAAGCCCACAGAGGGUUUGUUCAGUGCUGGCUGUCAUUGCAGUCGUGAGCUGCAGUGAGUGUGUAUGGAUGAUGUGCAUCCUUCCUUCCAGACGUGGGCUGACUGAAGGCAAGGCAGGAGAGCUCUGCUUCUUGUUUCAGAGAGGAAAAGUAAGUCACCAUGAAGGUGAAACAUGGAGAAAUUGGGCUGCAGACAGAUUGGUGGAAUAGCGACCGUGGGAAAUCACAACUGAGCACUCCUAUGUUCAUUUUCUGUGUGGGCCAUGUUGAUCUGCAGCUUUUGUGUAAAACUAUGAGUCACGAAGAGCUGAUUUCAGUUGGUAGA